ensembl:lncRNA
GUGGGAGAGAGGGAGAGAGAAAGGGGAGGAUAGUGGGAGAGAAAGAGACCGAGAGAGGUGUGGGAGAGAGGGAGAGAAAAAGAGGGGGAGACAGUUGGAGGGAGGGAAAGAAAAAGUGAGAGGAGAUAUUAGCAUAUCUAAAAAUGUAGUUCUAUGGUAGAACCUGUCCUCUGUGGACUCAGUUGGUAGAACCUGUCCUCUGUAACUCAGUUGGUAGAACCUGUCCUCUGUGACUCAGUUGGUAGAACCUGUCCUCUGUGGCUCAGUUGGUAGAGCCUGUCCUCUGUGGUUCAGUUGGUAGAGCCUGUCCUCUGUAACUCAGUUGGUAGAACCUGUCCUCUGUGACUCAGUUGGUAGAACCUGUCCUCUGUGGUUCAGUUGGUAGAACCUGUCCUCUGUAACUCAGUUGGUAGAACCUGUCAUCUGUGACUCAGUUGGUAGAACCUGUCCUCUGUGGUUCAGUUGGUAGAGCCUGUCCUCUGUCGCUCAGUUGGUAGAACCUGUCCUCUGUGGGUUCAGUUGGUAUAACCUGUCCUCUGUGACUCAGUUGAACCUGUCCUCUGUGGCUCAGUUGGUAGAACCUGUCCUCUGUAACUCAGUUGGUAGAGCCUGUCCUCUGUGGCUCAGUUGGUAGAGCCUGUCCUCUGUCGCUCAGUUGGUAGAACCUGUCCUCUGUGGUUCAGUUGGUAGAACCUGUCCUCUGUGACUCAGCUGGUAGAACCUGUCCUCUGUGGACUCAGUUGGUAGAGCCUGUCCUCUGUGGUUCAGUUGGUAGAGCAUUUACAACACCAGGAUUGUGGGUUUGAUUCCUGGGGCCUCCCCAUAUGUAAAAAUGACUGACUGACUGAAAGUUGAUGUGGAUAAAAAGUGCCUGGUAAUGGAAUAUGUAAAUCCAUAUUAGUGCCUCACAAACUAUGUAUGUAAAUAAUCCUGAUCUGGGAUUGGUCGGACCACAUCUGUUUUUUGACUUCUUAGCGAAUGAUAACUAAUAAAUAAAUAAUCCUGAUCUGGGAUUGGAUGAUAACGGAGAACACUUUGUUGUUCUUUUGAAUCCUGCAUUGCCCCUUUAAUUAAAGUCCACCUGUACUAAACCAGAUCACUGUUAGUCCCCGAUUCAAUCUGACUGCGCUUCGUCAACAACGCCAUUAACGUCAUUCAUAGGCAAAGUCCGCACCUGUCGGGGAGACCACAUUCCUCGCUGCAUGUUGGUUCAAUCGGAAAGGUUUAAAUGGUGCGUUGUUGACAAAGCACCAUGGGAUUGAAUCCCGACAUUAGUGUGGCUCUUCUAGCCAAAGCUGAUAAUUAUCCUUACAAUUAUUUUUUUUAAUUAUUUGUACAUAUAGUAUUUAUAUAUCACCACUAACACGGUACUAUUAGUAUUUUCUACUACAUACAGUAUAUCCAAAUGAUUCACUAAUUACACAGCCACGGUACAUAUAGUAUUUAUAUAACACCACUAACACGGUACAUAUAGUAUUUUGUACCACACCACAUGCGACUGGGGGCACCUUAUUAAUUGGGGAGGAAGGGCUCAUAGUGAUGGGAGGAAUGUGGUGAAGUGACUGGUAUCAAACACAUAGUUCCCUUCUGUUUUACAACCCUUCCACUCCUGACAUUAUGAGCCGUCCUCCCCAACAGCCUCCUGUGGUUUUACAACCCUUCCACUCCUGACAUUAUGAGCCGUCC